AUUGAACGCUGGCGGCAUGCUUUACACAUGCAAGUCGAACGGCAGCGCGGGCUUCGGCCUGGCGGCGAGUGGCGAACGGGUGAGUAAUACAUCGGAACGUGCCCAGUAGUGGGGGAUAGCUCGGCGAAAGCCGGAUUAAUACCGCAUACGACCUGAGGGUGAAAGCGGGGGAUCUUCGGACCUCGCGCUAUUGGAGCGGCCGAUGGCAGAUUAGCUAGUUGGUGGGGUAAAGGCCUACCAAGGCGACGAUCUGUAGCUGGUCUGAGAGGACGACCAGCCACACUGGGACUGAGACACGGCCCAGACUCCUACGGGAGGCAGCAGUGGGGAAUUUUGGACAAUGGGCGAAAGCCUGAUCCAGCAAUGCCGCGUGUGUGAUGAAGGCCUUCGGGGUUGUAAAAGCAACUU
rnacentral:rRNA from 1 species